GUUACUUUAAAGCAGAUCUGCAUACAAAAUAAAAAACCUCUACAAAUGGAAUGCAUAUGGCAGUCAAAGUUCUCAUUUUUCACAGUUUUUUGUCAUUUUGUAAUGAACAUGUUUUUAAUAAAUAUGUGGACACAGAAUAUGAGAAAAUCAGUGCCUAAACUCUUAAUGAGCAGUUUAAAAGUUAUUGAAAAUAAAAAAAAUAUUUUAAAAAGUUUUAUUAGUGACCCGAAUGCGAUGAU